GCCCAGACUCCUACGGGAGGCAGCAGUGGGGAAUAUUGGGCAAUGGGCGCAAGCCUGACCCAGCAACGCCGCGUGAAGGAAGAAGGCUUUCGGGUUGUAAACUUCUUUUAAGAGGGACGAAACAAAUGACGGUACCUCUUGAAUAAGCCACGGCUAACUACGUGCCAGCAGCCGCGGUAAUACGUAGGUGGCAAGCGUUAUCCGGAUUUAUUGGGUGUAAAGGGCGUGUAGGCGGGAAAGCAAGUCAGAUGUGAAAACUAUGGGCUCAACCCAUAGCCUGCAUUUGAAACUGUUUUUCUUGAGUGCUGGAGAGGCAAUCGGAAUUCCGUGUGUAGCGGUGAAAUGCGUAGAUAUUAGGAGGAACACCAGUGGCGAAGGCGGCUUACUGGACUGUAACUGACGUUGAGGCUCGAAAGCGUGGGGAGCAAACAGGAUUAGAUACCCUAGUAU
rnacentral:rRNA from 1 species